rnacentral:rRNA from 1 species
GACGAACGCUGGCGGCGUGCUUAACACAUGCAAGUCGAACGGAAAGGCCCUGCUUUUGUGGGGUGCUCGAGUGGCGAACGGGUGAGUAACACGUGAGUAACCUGCCCUUGACUUUGGGAUAACUUCAGGAAACUGGGGCUAAUACCGGAUAGGAGCUCCUGCUGCAUGGUGGGGGUUGGAAAGUUUCGGCGGUUGGGGAUGGACUCGCGGCUUAUCAGCUUGUUGGUGGGGUAGUGGCUUACCAAGGCUUUGACGGGUAGCCGGCCUGAGAGGGUGACCGGCCACAGUGGGACUGAGAUACGGCCCAGACGCCUACGGGAGGCAGCAGUGGGGAAUAGUGCACAAUGGGCGGAAGCCUGAUGCAGCAACGCCGCGUGCGGGAUGACGGCCUUCGGGUUGUAAACCGCUUUCGCCUGUGACGAAGCGUGAGUGACGGUAAUGGGUAAAGAAGCACCGGCUAACUACGUG